UACGGAGGGUGCGAGCGUUGUUCGGAAUCACUGGGCGUAAAGGGCGUGUAGGCGGUCCGCUAAGUCUGAUGUGAAAGCCCGGGGCUCACCCCCGGAAGGGCAUUGGAAACUGGCGGACUCGAGUCUCGGAGAGGAAGGUGGAAUUCCUGGUGUAGCGGUGAAAUGCGUAGAUAUGCGGAGGAACACCGAUGGCGAAGGCAAUCCCCUGGGCCUGCACUGACGCUCAUGCACGAAAGCGUGGGGAGCAAACAGG
rnacentral:rRNA from 1 species